rnacentral:rRNA from 1 species
AUAAGAUUUUAAUUGAAUGCUAAGAGAAUGGAAUUUCAGAAAAAAACUUUUUUCAAGUUAAAAAUUGAAAUUUUUUUAAUUUGUGCAGAAACAAUUAUUAAUAUUAAGGACAAGAAGACCCUAUGAAUUUAUAAAUUUUAUUUAAUAUGUAACUACUAUUAAAAAAAUUUUAGCUGGGGCGGCGGAAAAAUAUUUAAAACUUUUUUAAAAUAAAAUGACCCAUUAUUAAUGAUUAUAUGUUAAAUACUCUAGGGAUAACAGCGUUAUAUUUUUUGAUAGAUCAUAUUGACAAAAAAGUUUGCGACCUCGAUGUUGGAUUAGGAUACUUUUUUAAUGCAGAUAUUAAAAAAAGAAGUU